GUUGAAUCCCAUCCUCCCCUACCUCCAUGUUCCUGGCUUCAUCUAAUUUUGGAAGCUAAGCGGGUUGGGCGUGGCAAGUACUGGGAUGGGAAAGAGCUUAGUUUUAUCU
rnacentral:rRNA from 1 species